GAAAACCUGAGAUGUUCGAUAACCUUGUUAUUUUGAACCUACAAUACUUUAAAUGGGAUUCUUAUAUUUCUGUAAUAUGUCAAGCCUCCGUUAUGCAGUGGAAGACAGAAAAGCAGAUGCGGUUGCCCACCUAGCUUGCGUGCUAGGAGUCAAAAUACAGGGAACGGCAUUUUGGGGAUUCU
rfam:Ruminococcus gnavus CAG:126 genomic scaffold, scf103